rnacentral:rRNA from 1 species
UGCCAGCCGCCGCGGUAAUACGGAGGGUGCGAGCGUUGUCCGGAAUCACUGGGCGUAAAGAGUACGUAGGCGGUCUUUUAAGUCACCUGUGAAAUUUCGGGGCUCAACCCCGAACCUGCAGGUGAUACUGGAAGACUUGAGCAUGGUAGGGGCAAGUGGAAUUCCCGGUGUAGCGGUGGAAUGCGUAGAUAUCGGGAAGAACAUCGGUGGCGAAGGCGACUUGCUGGGCCAUAUGCUGACGCUGAGGUACGAAAGCGUGGGGAGCGAACGGGAUUAGAUA